GCGAUGUAGCUUAGUGGGGGGGUGGGGCAUCUGCUUCGAAUGCAGAAGCCAUCGGGUUCAAUCCCGAUGCGGCAGUG